CGGUGCUGCUCAAUGCGCCGAUGCAUUUGAGGGAAGCGAUAGCGGAGUCGACGGCAUCUAGUGGAGGUGGCUCGGGAAAGGG
rnacentral:SRP_RNA from 13 species